AGGACAAGGCAUGCGGCUUUGCUAUCCAGCAUCCGAGCGCAGCAGAACUCCGUUUGUUGCGAGAGGGAUUUGUUUUGGUGUUUGGUCAAGUCCCUUGCACAGAGUUUUAGGGCAGGUGCUCUUAUGGAAGGAAUGCUGCUGUUGCUGCUGCAUCAACAUUCUGUUUCCACAAGCAACACCCACUUGGGUCAAUUACCCAAAUUCUGUGGCAGCACAUCAGAUGCUGCUGCUGCUGCUGUCAGAUGUGCAACGAAGUCUGGUCCCCAUCGGCGUCAACAUCUGGCGAAUGCGUGUGAAUUUCACCACGCAGGCUGCCUCGGUAGCGCACCCCACAAUCCUCUCAGCUUCUGGACCCAAUCCGCAAGGCAUUGACGCUGUAUGUUACACACCUGGUAGUACUUUUCCUGUGGUUCUUGGUUCGAAGGUUGACCUGUUGCUUUCGAGAAAUGAUGAACUCGAGGUUUUGUUCGAUUGAGUUUCGCAGUGGGUGAUCAGGGUGCAAAUUGGGGGUGAGGUGCUAAUGCAUUUGAUUUAGAAGGGUGCGUAGCGACAGAGAUGGUGAGAUCAUUCAGAAAAUUCGCGUUCUAUAGCACGAGCCACCGCCCGAAACAGCACUACGUCUUGGUGGACACUGUAAGGGGGAAGAGAAUUAGUCCUGAUGCCGCACUACAUGGCGUUCCUCCUUUGAAGACCUUCGUACAAAUUGAGCAUGUAUCAGAGCCCAAAGAGAUUGACAAGCCAGUUCAGUGCCCUCCAUCAGAAAAUAGCAUCAUUCAGGAUGGAUUGACAUGGAGGGAAAUAAUAGCAAGUUUCCGGCGCCAAAUGAAAAAGACCGGCACAUGCCAAGAAGGCGACGCCGUUGGAUGCACAGAAUCGAUUACUGAGAAUCCAAGAAGAUCAGACAGUGGCAACCUGGCCGAGAAGAAUCUAUUGGUGACGAGCAGUGCACUUGCCCGUUUAAUCACAGAAGCGCUGGAGUAAUUUGCUCGUCGGUCCCAGUAGAACUGCCUGGAGGUGCAAGGUGCACAGAUGCAUUUGUACAAUAAGCUAGACCCAGUUCAAUUUCCUAGCCUCAGUUUCCAGUUUGGCUUUGUCACAAGAGCAGGGUUGACGUGUCUUAUUAACAAGGCAUAGUCGGAUCCUUUGAGAAAUCAUGAUCAGGUCCAUUGUAGCCGAUUACACUUUUUCCAGAAUUCAGGGUUCAACUAUUAAUAAAUUCUCCGGCAUGAGUUCACUUCCAACA